AUGUGCUUUCUCAAAGGCAGCCACUUCAUGCUGCUAUGUCGAAAGGGCCAUUAUUAUUAUUAUUUUUUAAUAGUAAAAGUAAAAGGGAGAGAGGCUGAGAGAGGGAGAGAGAGAGGGAGGGAGGGAGGAGAAGCUAGGUGUGUUGAUGACGGACUAGCCUUUCUGAGAGGAGAAAGAAAAGGGAAGGGAGAGAAAAGGAGAGACCCUGAGCUGAACGGAGGAUUGUGCCUGAGAAGAACCUUCUCGGAGCCUAAACUACAGAGUUACAGUCUCUAGAUUUGGUGUAUCGCUUCCUGCCCCCGCCUCCCCUCCCCGCCCCCGGGCUCCGUCCUCUAUUCAAACACCUCGCCCAGCCUAGCGCGCAGCGAGCUCAAUUUCCCCCCCUGGCUCCGGACGGCGCGACAGGAGGCUGCCUUGCCCGGCUCCGCUUCGUAAGGUUGUGUUGGUGCUCCUUUCAGCUGGUCCCAUAGCCCCCCCUCCUCAGGAAUGUCUCCCCAGUGAAAGAACAAAGACUGCAGAGGCUGCUAUAUUGAUGGACCACAAGCCAGCUCUGAAGGUGAAACAAAGAACGUGAUCACGGAAGACACCUGUCCUGCUAGGCCACACGCCCAACAUGGUGCAGUUUCAGCCAGUAGGACUCUCAGAACGAGGGACAGUCUUUUCAAGGAACAGGAAACCUCCAUAAUGACAUCUAGACUUUUAAUGAACCUAAAACUCUCCCUGCCUCACAUGUAUGCCUCUGUAUUUAAAUUCAUUUGAUGUUUAUUUUUUUUUUUUCUAGCAUGGGUAUGCCUGCUAAUGCAUUGGUCUUAAAACCCCAAAUUGCACCAAUGUGUCAACACUGUAAGUAACAAAAAUUAAUGACAUAAGGAAAAUGAUUUUUAGCCACACACAGAGUUUGAUCUUAACAAUGACCUUGAGAAUAUAAGGCCUUUUCAGCAGAGGCAAUUCAAAGGAUCAGAAAUAAUGGUAGAAACCACUCAUCAUGCACACAGAAAUACCACGUUAUUCCACCUGACGCCAGCUCAUCAACCAUUAUUUUUACCAAGCAAGCUACAUUCUAGGAGAUAAAGUGGCUGCAUCCAAAGAGCUUAAAUCUAGUUAGACAAAGUUACAUAAACUACUGGGAAGAUAAGUGACAGGUAGGGUCCACAGAGGGCUAAACCACACCACACGAAAAUGAGCUCAGAGGAGGUUGCCAUAAGGUGGGCAAAAUCGGCUUCUUUAAGGAAGAAACUUCCUAAAAGAGGAAAAUAUGUAAUAAUCUUGAAGGAUCUCAAAGAUUUAGAUAAAAUGAAAAGGAAAACAUGGAAUCCUUUAGGUGGGUAUGAUACUGUGAGCAAAAGUCACAAGCCACGGAAGAGGAAAAGACUAUUCACCUUUUGGUGAGCCAUAGGCGGCACCUGUGGCUCAGUGGGUAGGGCGUGGGCCCCAUAUACCAAGGGUGGCCGGUUUGAACCCAGCCUGGGCCAACUAAAACAGCAGUGACAACUGCAACAAAAAUAGCCAGGCAUUGUGGCGGGUGCCUGUAGUCCCAGCUACUCAGGAGGCUGAGGCAAGAGAAUUGCUUAAGCCUAAGAAUUAGAGGUUGCUGUGAGCUGUGAUGCUACGGCACUCUACCGAGGGCAACAAAGUGAGACUCUCGUCUCUACAAAAAAAAAAAAAAAAUUCACCUCUGGUUGACUUCAUCCCAGAUGUUCCACAGCCCCCUCUAGGUAGCUGAUAAAGACUUUCACGCACAUACCACUCCUCUCCCACUCCAGCUAUUGCCUAGAAUUAUAAUCAUAUUUCCUUGUUAUUAAAGCAAGUAAAGGUGAUCAGUGAUUAUAGGGAAAACUGUGAUUUUUCUUUUAACCUAAUAAUAAUUGGUAUUUAUUGAAUUCUCCCUAUAUGUUAAGCAUGCUACAUUUAACUCACUUAAGCCUCACAACAAUCAUGCAAAACAGAUUUUAUUAUCCCAGUUUUACAGGCAAGAAAACUGAGUUUUAAGUAAUUUGUCCAAGUGCCAAGCCUGAAUGCAUUCACCUUCAGGAUUAUGGUUGCAGAGCUCAUGUUCUAGAACACUAAGUAACAGUGUUGUAAUCAAUGUCAUAAUUAUUGGUACUUUUUAAAUGUUCCUUGAUAUUUUUCCAUGAUGAGCAGAUAUUUUAUGUCAUAACCCCCUCAAACUUUUCAGUGCUGGAUACAUUACCCUAGAAUAAUAUAAUGUAUUUUCACCAUAAUUUUUUUUGUUGUUUUUUUAUAAAUGGGGAAUAGAGCUUAUCAGCAGGCACUUAGACAUGCUUUUACGCCAGACUGUUCUCACUGGUAUGCAUGAAAUUUCAAAUUAUUAAGAAUAAAAAAGGGGCGAGGCUUAAUCACUUGUUGCGAUAUCCUUUUUUACAGAGAAAAUAAAUUUCUACCUUUUACAUUUACAGUAACUUACAGAAGAUCACACUUUGGGGAGGCGACAAAGACCAGAAAACAGACCCAUUUGUUACCAUAUCCUUUUUUACAAAUGAGAUAAAUCUCCACCCCUUAAAUUUACAGUAACUUACAGAGGAUCACUCUUUGGGAGGGUGGUAGAGCGAGAACCAAAAACCAUGCCCACUUGUUGCAAUAUCUUUUUUUCACAAAUGAUAUAAAUCUAUACUCCUUAAAUUUACAGUAACUUACAGAGGAUCACACUUUUUUUUUAAUGAAAUCAUAGCUGUGUACAUCAAUGCAAUCAUGGGGUACAAUGUGCUGGUUCUAUAUACCAUUGGAAGUAUUUUCAUCAAACUGGUUAACAUAGCCUUCACCGCAUUUUCUUAGUUAUUGUGUUCAGACAUUUAUACUGUACACUUAAUUUUAUACUGUUAAGUGUACAGUAUAAAUGUCUGAAUACAAUAAGUAAUUUUAAUGUAAAUUUAACAUGUAAAUUUAAAAUGCACCGUGGUGUGGUCUCAUAAUUGGUGGGAUCACACUUUUGAGGGGUGGCAGGGCAAGGCCCUCCAGUUCACUCUCAGUGGUUACUAACCGAUUCCACCCUUGCUAAAUGAAGCAAGAACUUGAAUUUGAUCAGUGGAAGUAGUCUAUCCAGGUAAUCAGGGAUCACUGUUUCAGUUUUUCCCUCCUCUGGCUUCCCACUUCAGUAUCAAAAGUCCAGAAAUUGUCAGUCGCCCAUCUCCAAAGAACACAUAACGUGCUAAGUUUGAUGUGUACAAUCUCUUCGAUGAUAUUCUUAAGUUAUUUGGAAUUCUUAGUUCCCUUACACAAAUCAGAGCUAAUGAGCAUCUUAACCAACUGUAUGCACAGUCUAUAUUUGUGAUUGCUUCUGCAUAAAUGUUUAUUCAUGACUGUUUCAAUAGACUUAUGUGUUUUUAAAUUAUUAAGUCAUUUGCUAUUAUACUCCUCACUUAUCUAUGUAACCAGCUCAAAAAUACUUUGGCCAUCCAAUACCAGAACUGAGGAAAUCUCAUUCUUCUUUGCUACUCUUUUGCAUUCAGUUGGCAUUUAGUACUGAUUGUUGAAGUAGCCAACUGAAUAACGUAGAGGUUCAAGGUACAAUUCUGUCUCCAAAGAAUCAGGUAAACUGAGUCCCACUUAGAGACAAACAUCUAAACAUUUGAAAGUGUCUGAAUAUUUGACUGUUGUAAAUUUCCACUUAACCAUCUGGCAUUGUCAGAUCUCCUCAUGGCUCUGGUUGUCCUGUUUUCAAAAUGAUGAUUGUUGGUCUUAUCUCACACAGUUCUCAUUAAGUAAGUUCAUAAAUAAACAGGGUUUUUUAAAGAGCAGCCAAGCACAAACUGUGACUUUGUUGACAUUUUAUGAGACGUUGUCAUAUGUCCGUAACCCCCAAUAAAAGCAAUGUUGCAUCAACGGUGAA